AUGAACGCUGGCGGCGUGCCUAAUACAUGCAAGUCGAGCGAACGGACGAGAAGCUUGCUUCUCUGAUGUUAGCGGCGGACGGGUGAGUAACACGUGGAUAACCUACCUAUAAGACUGGGAUAACUUCGGGAAACCGGAGCUAAUACCGGAUAAUAUUUUGAACCGCAUGGUUCAAAAGUGAAAGACGGUCUUGCUGUCACUUAUAGAUGGAUCCGCGCUGCAUUAGCUAGUUGGUACGGUAACGGCUUACCAAGGCAACGAUGCAUAGCCGACCUGAGAGGGUGAUCGGCCACACUGGAACUGAGACACGGUCCAGACUCCUACGGGAGGCAGCAGUAGGGAAUCUUCCGCAAUGGGCGAAAGCCUGACGGAGCAACGCCGCGUGAGUGAUGAAGGUCUUCGGAUCGUAAAACUCUGUUAUUAGGGAAGAACAUAUGUGUAAGUAACUGUGCACAUCUUGACGGUACCUAAUCAGAAAGCCACGGCUAACUACGUG
rnacentral:rRNA from 1 species